AAGUCGUAACAAGGUUUCCGUAGGUGAACCUGCGGAAGGAUCAUUGACAAAUCUAGAUGGUGGAUGGGGGUUGGUGGAUAGAUGUUGUAGGUGAUGGUUAUGGCCACAUAUUGUGGGUGUACCAUUGUCUAUUGCAGCUGGCCAUCAUUCCCAUUCAUUCAUUAAACAUUUACACCUGUGCAUCGGCGUUGCAUCAUCCCCGCGUCAUUGUUAUACAGUGAUGGUGUGGAUGAUGGGACGUUUUUGUUGUCAGUGUUGAAUAAUAUGAGACAUUGACAAUAACAUAAAUGUAAUUGAACAGUAGGUAACACUAUAUGCAUGUGGCCAAUGUGUCACAUGUGUAAAACAAUAGAGAAACUUUUAGCAAUGGAUCUCUUGGCUUUU
rnacentral:misc_RNA from 1 species